AGAUAUGGUGAUUAAUCAGUACUUCAGAGGUAUGCUGUCUACAUGGGAUUUCUCAGCUGCUGGUGAAAUUACUACAGGUGCUAAACAUGCUGAAGUAAUUUCUUGAACUUUGACCUGUAAAAUUCUCUGAUGGAUUUUGGAUUAGUGCGUGUUUUUGUCUACCUCGUCAUCUCCACUAUAAUACUAUACUGGUGAACAGUUUACCUCAAUUUUCAUUGAUGUGGAACCCACAACUUGGCGUUUUAAUCUACCGAUCAAGUCAUCGGACGCUGGUAAAUAUGUUUUUGGGGUUCAGUUAUUCAUGUUUCUUACCCACUCUGAUUUAAUGAAGUUCCUGCUUUUCAGUUCAAUGUCAGAAAUACAAAGAAAAAUGCAAAUGGUAAAUGUUUGGUGUGAUAUUGAUUGGUAACUCUUACAUUGGACAAAUAAAGGAGAAAGGAGACGCAUCUGAAGUUGGAUUUCAGCAUUUACUGUUCUUGUUGAAAUAAAUCUUUCAUAUUUUAUAUAUAAA